GAUGAACGCUGGCGGCGUGCCUAAUACAUGCAAGUCGAGCGAACAGACGAGGAGCUUGCUCCUCUGACGUUAGCGGCGGACGGGUGAGUAACACGUGGAUAACCUACCUAUAAGACUGGGAUAACUUCGGGAAACCGGAGCUAAUACCGGAUAAUAUAUUGAACCGCAUGGUUCAAUAGUGAAAGACGGUUUUGCUGUCACUUAUAGAUGGAUCCGCGCCGCAUUAGCUAGUUGGUAAGGUAACGGCUUACCAAGGCAACGAUGCGUAGCCGACCUGAGAGGGUGAUCCGCCACACUGGAACUUGGACACGGGCCAAAAUCCUAAGGGAGGCAACAGUAGGGAAUCUUCCGCAAUGGGCGAAAGCCUGACGGAGCAACGCCGCGUGAGUGAUGAAGGUCUUCGGAUCGGAAAACUCUGUUAUUAGGGAAGAACAAAUGUGUAAGUAACUAUGCACGUCUUGACGGUACCUAAUCAGAAAGCCACGGCUAACUACGUG
rnacentral:rRNA from 1 species